rnacentral:tRNA from 1 species
GAAACUCCUGCGUUGUCCUGCGAGAAAGCUUUCUCUCAUUUGGAGCCCCAUGCCCCUGGAAUGCGGAAGUUCCUGGCCCAGGGACUGAACCUGCACCACAGCAGUAACCCAAGCUGCUGCAGUGACCAUGCCAGAUCCUUAUCCUACUGUGCCACAAGAGAAUUUCCAAUUUCUGAAUCAUUCUUGAGGUAGAGGUUUCAUGAGUCAAAUUUUCCACUUAUGGACUAUGAGAUGAUAAUGACGGCUAUGAUAAUAACAACAACAAAAGGGUGUUAAGGGCUGAGAAAGAUGUGAUUUUUUUUUGUUUUGUUUAAUUCCUUUCCUGUUUUAUUUCAUUUUAUUAUAAGCAAUCACAUUAAAUCUUUGUAUAUUUUCUCCCUUUAGUGACAAUAUAUUGUUUUAUCAGUUUUGGGCAUGGUCUACUGACCUUCACCAUGGAAGAGCAUACACGCAUUUCCAUCUGCCACCAUCACCACUUAUGUGCACCCUUUCCAUCCACCUAGUACAGUUAUAAUAGGACUCUGUUUAGAUCACUCUUUGGCUUCCAUUAUUCUAACCAUAUGAAAACCCACAGUUGACCCAGGAUAUCAAUACCAUGCUUUAUCUUUUCUGCUUACCUUUCCAUAUUCAUUCUUCACCCUUUUCCAUUCUGCUGUGUCUUGAGAGGCUGAUCUGCAUGGACUCUAUCAAAUGGCUUCCUUGCCCCAUGGUUCCUCAUUGGGUUUGACCCAUAGAAAGCACUAGCUGGAAUGUGGAGGGAGAAACAACGAGGUCAUAGUAUUUGUUUGCUAGCUCCCACCUUACUAGGUUGCCAUGGGUUAACUCUGUUCUACAAAAGGCCUCAGCUCUUGUCUGGCAAUACACUCUAUAUGAGAGUCUCUUUGGAGUCAACCGAUGACAUGUACUUUUUGCUCUUUUUGUCCUGGAGUAGUAACAAUUCUUAACGUUGUUAUUAAUCUUUUCAGUUUUCCUUUUCCUCUUUUUUUUUUUUUUGGUCUUUUUGGGGCUGUACCUGCAGCAUAUGGAAGUUCCUGGGCUGGGGUCAAAUCAGAGCUGCCGCUGCCAGCCUAUGCCACAGCCACAGCAAUACCAGAUCCAACCAGAUCUGCAACCGAUGCUGCAGUUUGUGGCAGCGCCCCACUGAGCAAGGUUUCAGGGAUUGAACCCACAUGCUCAUGGAUACUAGUUGAAUUCUUUUUUUUUUUAAUUAUUAUUUUUUCUUUUUAGGGCUGUACCCACAGCAUAUGGAAGUUCCCAGGCUAGGGGUUGAAUUAGAGGUACAGCAGCCAGCCUACACCACAGCCACAGCAACACCAGAUCCGAGCUGCAUCUAUGACCUACACCACAGCUCAUGGCAAUGCCAGAUCUCCGACCCACUGAGCGAGGCCAGAAAUUGAAUUUGCAUCCUCAUGGAUACUAGUUGGAUUCAUUUCCCCUGUGCCACAACAGGAACUCCUCUUUUUUAGUUUUCUUAAGUCUACCUACAUCUUUACAAAUUUUUGUGUCUUUAUUAAGGUCUCUUGAAUUAUGUUAUCUAUAAUAAUUUAUAUACAAAUUUUUGUUAGCUAUGUUAUAUAGAAAAUUAUUAAAAAAUUUUUUUAAACUUUUAAAGUUAAAAUUUUUGGGCCUUGGCAUUAAGUGGCUUGAUGUGGGAAUCUCAGUUCCUCAAUCAGGGAUUGAACCUAGGCCACAGCAGUGAAAAUGCUGUGUCCUAAUCACUAGAUCACCAGGGAACUCUCAGUGUUAUCUAUUUUCUGCUGGGCAUAUAUUUUGAUUAUCUUCCUUUCCUGAAAAACUUUUUUAUUUUCUCUGGAGUUAAUAUUUGAUCUAAUUUUUCUAUUUUCCCAUGAAGUUAUUAUUAAUUCAACUCAAAUACCUUUUAUAAUUUUCUAAAGCUCCCCUUAAGAUGUUCAGAAACAUCAAGAAUUUUCUUUUUCAUUUUCUUAAAGCCAUCUUUUCUGGAGCUCUCUAAAUUUUUUCAGUUUAACCCCUAGACCUGAUGGAUAGCUUUAAAUUGGGAUCUCUCUUUGCUAUCAUUGAGGAAGUUACCUUUUGUGAAUUGGAACUUCUCUUUGCAUUGGAUUUAAAUCUUCAAUCUUACAUUCUCACCUUGUUUGUGCAUAGCCUCUAGUAGUUUCCUGAGAAAGGACACGUAAAAGUUAAAUUAUUUGAGAAUUUUAUGUUAGAAAAUAUAUUAUAUCCCAACAUCUUAUUGGUACUUUGGCUGGGUAUAGAGUUCUAUGGUAUAAAUUAUUUCCUUUCAGUAUUUUGAAGACAUUGUUCCACUAUUCUCUAGCUUCUGGCAUUGUCUUUGAGAAGUCUGAAGUCAUUAUUAUUCCUAAACCUUUGCAUGUGAAUCUUUUUUUCUUGAAAGCAUUUAAGAGCUUCUGAUCUUCAGUCCUAAAGUACUAUGAUAAUGGACCCUAGAAUAUAUUCAUUCAUUGCUGGGUACUUGAGGGAAAUUUCAAUCUAAGCUGGUUGCCGAGAUUAAAUGGAAGAGAAAUCAGGAAAUUACUAAUUAAUGAGCAUGAAGUUUUAGUUAAGUUUUACAUGAAUUCAGUUAAGAUGAAUAAGUACUAGAGAUGUGCUGUACACUGUUGCAUCUAUAGUCAACAAUAUUGUGUUGUACACUUAAAAUCUUAUGAAGGGGGUAGAUUUCAUGUUGUGUUCUUACCACAAUAAAAGAUUAAAAUGCCUUUUUCACAAUCUUGUGGUGAGAAUUAAAUGCAGAAUGCUAUAAAGCACUUGGUCUGCAAACAGUAUUUACUAUUGUUGUUCUUGUGGACUGGGGUCUGGAAGCAGGAAAAAGAGAGGACCAUGGCAAUAGAUUAAGUUCGAGAAGAAGAAAACCUGCGAAAAGGUAACAACCAUGAGGAUGGAGAGUUGAGAGGGCAGGUAUAGGAGAUGACACUGCACCAUGAGAACUGUGUGUGGGGGCGAAAAAAAGGAGGAAUCAAAGAGGAUUCAUGUGAUUGUGACCUCUAUUAUUUAUUAGUAAUAAGUGUAGAAAUAUCACAUUAUGAUAUUUCAACCCAAAAUGAUGACUUCCUUAGUGGCAUUAAAGAAGUGUCAUUCAGAAGUUAUCAUCUGAUCACUCCAGAGAUACUGGUUAACACUCCACUGGUGUUUGAUUAAGCUAAUGAGGUGGGCGAAGUGGUUUGUGCAUGUUGAAUUCAGGAAGCAUUUAUCUAGAAAUGGUAUCUAGAAGCAUUUAUCUAAAAAAGAAAAGCGAAGAUCACAAAAGCCGUGUUAAUAAUUUGCCUCAUAGUUUAUGCUGCAAUCUGUGCUGACCCUGGGGUUUUAGUUCCUGGGUUCCUUGCUAUGAACACCUGCAUUUGUGUGAUACUGCUAAUUUGAGCUUUGCAUUGCAUUCUCAAGCCCCCUGACGAGGACUCUUGGACAUCAUUCUGUAAUGGUUGUUUUCUUUCCAAAGGGGAAUUGAUGAAAUCAAUGAACUGAGACUAAUAUCUAUUGUUCUUAAGCAAGCAUCUGUGUGAUCAUUCCCAGGAAGAGAAAAAUAUAUUUUGCAGCAAAGGAAGAGAGCAAAAUUCCCUGUCAAAAGUUCCUCUUUGCUUGGAAAUCACAUCAGCUUACUUUAAAUGUUCUGAGUAAAGAAGAGAAGAAGAAAACUGCCCUUGGGGGACCUGAAUGAGGCAGGAGCUUUGUGUGCUAAAUACACAGUCACCUCUAUGUGAAGGGAAUAAAGUCUAUAUACUAGCUG